rnacentral:rRNA from 1 species
CUGGCGGCGUGCCUAACACAUGCAAGUCGAGCGGGGACACACGACGGACAGGAAGUUUCGGACAGACUGGAAGAUGUAUGUUCUAGCGGCGGACGGGUGAGUAACGCGUGAGCAACCUGUCCUUCACAGGGGGAUAACACAGCGAAAGUUGUACUAAUACCGCAUAAGACCACGGCGAGACAUCUCGCAGGGGUCAAAGGAGCAAUCCGGUGAAGGGUGGGCUCGCGUCCGAUUAGAUAGUUGGUGAGGUAACGGCCCACCAAGUCGACGAUCGGUAGCCGACCUGAGAGGGUGAUCGGCCACAUUGGGACUGAGACACGGCCCAAACUCCUACGGGAGGCAGCAGUGGGGAAUAUUGGGCAAUGGACGAAAGUCUGAACCCCCAGCGACGCCGCGUGAGGGAAGAAGGUCUUCGGAUUGUAAACCUUAGUCAACAGGGACGAAGCAAGUGACGGUACCUGUGGAGGAAGCCACGGCUAACUACGUGCCAGCAGCCGC